rnacentral:rRNA from 1 species
CGUGUAGGCGGUCGGCCAAGUCUGAUGUGAAAGCCCGGGGCUCAGCUCCGGAAGUGCGUCGGAAACUAGUCGGCUGGAGCGCGAUAGAGGAGGGUGGAAUUCCUGGUGUAGCGGUGAAAUGCGUAGAUAUCAGGAGGAACACCGGCGGCGAAGGCGGCCCUCUGGAUCGUUGCUGACGCUGAGACGCGAAAGCGUGGGGAGCAAACAGGAUUAGAUACCCUGGUAGUCCACGCUGUAAACGAUGGGUACUAGGUGUUUGGGGUAUUGACCCCCUGAGUGCCGCAGUUAACGCAUUAAGUACCCCGCCUGGGGACUACGGCCGCAAGGUUAAA